rnacentral:rRNA from 1 species
AUUAAACGCUGGCGGCAUGCCUUACACAUGCAAGUCGAACGGCAGCACGGGGGCAACCCUGGUGGCGAGUGGCGGACGGGUGAGUAAAGCAUCGGAACGUAUCCUGGAGUGGGGGGAUAACGUAGCGAAAGUUACGCUAAUACCGCAUAUUCUGUGAGCAGGAAAGCAGGGGAUCGCAAGACCUUGCGCUCUGGGAGCGGCCGAUGUCGGAUUAGCUAGUUGGUGGGGUAAAGGCCUACCAAGGCGACGAUCCGUAGCGGGUCUGAGAGGAUGAUCCGCCACACUGGGACUGAGACACGGCCCAGACUCCUACGGGAGGCUGCAGUGGGGAAUUUUGGACAAUGGGCGCAAGCCUGAUCCAGCCAUGCCGCGUGAGUGAAGAAGGCCUCGGUUGUAAG